UACGUAGGGCGCAAGCGGUGUCCGGAAUUAUUGGGCGUAAAGAGCUCGUAGGCGGCUUGUCACGUCGGAUGUGAAAGCCCGGGGCUUAACUCCGGGUCUGCAUUCGAUACGGGCUGGCUAGAGUGUGGUAGGGGAGAUCGGAAUUCCUGGUGUAGCGGUGAAAUGCGCAGAUAUCAGGAGGAACACCGGUGGCGAAGGCGGAUCUCUGGGCCAUUACUGACGCUGAGGAGCGAAAGCGUGGGGAGCGAACAGG
rnacentral:rRNA from 1 species